rnacentral:lncRNA from 1 species
GCUACAUGAGGAACAAUGUGUCUUCCAUGCCAAAAUGCAGCAUUCACCAGUCCCUUACCAGACACCAAAAUGAGAAUUCACUCAUCUGUCCUGAAGUCCAAAUAAUUGUAUUGCCAUCCGCUCCAAGUGUGGAUGUGUGGCGGGCCUGGGAAGCCACAGAGGAGAACAUUGUUCUUACCCUGCCAUUCAGGUCAUAUUUUCCAGCCAGACUGGGACCAGUGAAGGAAUUAAUGGAUCCGCUGAGCAAAAUUCCCCAAGCUAAUGCCUUCAUAAAUUUUCAUCUAGUCCAUUCAUGGGCUUCAACUGAGGAAGCAACCCUGGUCUAAUCAAUUUCGCUCAGUGUGUAAGUGUCUUGUAGAAUAAAGGAUGGUAAGCCAAACCCAAUAAAUGGCUUCUUG